rnacentral:rRNA from 1 species
GACGAACGCUGGCGGCGUGCUUAACACAUGCAAGUCGAACGGAAAGGCCCUGCUUGCCGGGUACUCGAGUGGCGAACGGGUGAGUAACACGUGGGUGAUCUGCCCUGCACUUCGGGAUAAGCCUGGGAAACUGGGUCUAAUACCGGAUAGGAGCCAUUUUUAGUGUGAUGGUUGGAAAGUUUUUUCGGUGUAGGAUGAGCUCGCGGCCUAUCAGCUUGUUGGUGGGGUAAUGGCCUACCAAGGCGGCGACGGGUAGCCGGCCUGAGAGGGUGGACGGCCACAUUGGGACUGAGAUACGGCCCAGACGCCUACGGGAGGCAGCAGUGGGGAAUAUUGCACAAUGGGCGCAAGCCUGAUGCAGCGACGCCGCGUGGGGGAUGACGGCCUUCGGGUUGUAAACGCCGUUCGCUAGGGACGAAGCUUUUUGUGACGGUACCUAGAGAAGAAGCACCGGCUAACUACGUG